AGGAAGCUCUUUCUGCUCUCCCCCUUCACAGCUCUGUUACAGUAACCUGUCUGUAAGUGGAGCUGUCAGUGAGAUGGUGGUGGCCUGAAGAGGCUUUACUAAAGGUGAGAACAACACAAUACAUGUAUUUCUAUUGUCUCAUGUUCAAGAGUGUAGGAGCAGCUUGGUUGGGGAUAGAUAGACUAUUUGAAGAGGUUCAAUUUCAGAGACGCAUCAUGUUGUGUUAUUGUCAUCCCCAUACCAAGGUGAAGACAUAAUUGGAAUUAUAUUGGCUUUCAAUAAUGUACCACUUCAGGAGUCUGCUUUGAAAUGUCAAAAAGAUCAACCAGCAAACAUGGAGUCCCCUUGUUCAGUCCGACAGUUUAUUUGGUAUGAUGAAGUUCAGCUGAGUGUGUAAAAAAUGAUGCUAAGGUUUGAGUUUGAUAUUCUGUUUUUUUACAAUUAAAACAAUGUAACUAAUGCUGUUGAACUGUAUACUCAUACAUAUUUCAAAUCUCUUCUAUUUGGUAUAUCAAUUAUAGACCAUUCAUUAAUACUUUAUUAGUCUUUAUUAGUAUUAGUGAUGUAGAUCAUAGUCACUAUUUUGUUCAAGGUAAAUAAACAUACAAAAUGUAUUCCUAAGUGUAUUGUUAAGUUUGAUCAAUACCACAUGUUAUACCUCUACCCUAUCUCUAUGCAUUUGGCUUUUAUCUACCUUUAAUCACAAAAUCGGUUAUCAUUUUCCCUAACCAAACUUUGUUUUAUUAAAGCGAAAGUGUUCUUAUCUUCUGAUGCAGAUACUGUAUCCCUGAACCAACAGGGGUAUUCAAUACAAUACCAACAUCAUUUUUCUUUGGACGUUUCAAGUUAAUAGCAUAAGAACAUGUCACUCCUCACUGAGUGGGAUCAAGGCAUUACACAAUGGUGUUGGCUAUAGCGCUGUGAUGACCACACACAUCCUGUGGGUAGCUGAGGGCUCAGGUUGUUUACAGGAACACAUGACCAAUUUCUACCAAGUGAGGGGUUUAUUUCCAACAGUUUAGUCUUUCUUUCCACUUAGUUUUGGUGCCUAUAGAGAUGAUAUGCAUGAUAGCCAUCUUCAGCCUACAAGGAGCUGUCUUGGCCAUUGUGUCUGCGGCAUCUCUCAGUGUCUUCUCUGCUUUCUGUCUGUGGUGCAGGAGGAAAACCAAAAUAAUACAUGAAGAGAAUCAAAUUUAUGACCCUCAAAUAUUAUGGUGAUCAAUAUGAGAAUGUUUUUCCAUCUAUUGAUACAAUCAGCCAGGGCUCUGAUGGCUCAGAUUACGAGAACUCUGAAUUCCUGGAGCAAGUGAAGAUGGGGUUAGAACCAUUAGAGGAUGAUGAACCAGAUUACGUGAACGACACUGACUGAUAUGGAAUCUACAUGCUCUGAGUGGAUAUCUAUGGGAAUGGACUUUUCUCUCUUUGUUGAGCUGCUUGAAUAAAUAUUAAGUUAUAAUGAUACAUAUGUCAAUGUGCUAUACCAGAGCAAUGCCAUUUUCGGGUUAAUGCCCAAAGUUGUAUUACUUCAUCAGGAAUUACCUUGAGUCAAAAUGUGAGGAACCAUGUGCAGCAGGGAUGGGCAACUGGCAGCCCAUGGAUCAAUUUCCAAAACUCAGUCAGGGUCUCAGUUUAUUGUUGAGAGAAUAGUAGAAUACACAAGGUGCACUUUUGAAAUGUGCAGUUGUGCAUCAGCGGUUAUGUCAGCCACUCAAUUAGCCCAUGCCAGCAAAAUUAUUUUAGAUUGGUAAAUUAGACUAGCGGCCAGCUAUCUAAACUUGUAAUCAUGUUCAAAUUAUGGGGCCACAAUUGAUCAUCAGAGAUCAUAUUAACUGCUGUUUGUCUCUACCCUAUGGUACAAUGUGUAGAAUUACAGAAAAUCCACUUAACUGCUGCUACUUUCCCCCCUGUUUGGACUGCAUGUAUGGAUGUGGGUAUGCAGACCCGCGAGCCACUGUGGCCCCCCAUGAGGAGUUCUGAUUUGUGGCCCCCACCCCCAUCAAUGUUGCCCAUCCCUGAUGUACAGUAUUUUGGAUUGUUUGAGUGUUACUGUGUAACUGUCACCAUCUAGUGGUACAAAAUGAAUACGAGUCAGCUCCAAAUGUAAAAGAAAAAAGAUUGUCAAUGUGUAUUAAUAAAUAAAUCCUUACUACAAAA
ensembl:lncRNA